AUCCCUUUUGAGUUUGUUGUGGUGGAUACCUUACAUUUAUUUUUAAGAAUAAUGGGGCUACUAUUCCAUCAGGUUGUUGAGGUUGUUGUCAACAAUGAUUGCCCAGACAUUCUGUCAAAAGAAAUGGAGAGAAUUCAGGUGGAAUUCAAGUUUUAUGAUGAGUACAACAGACUGGCAGAAAAAACAGAAACAAAGUGGACAAGUCUAAAUGGGAAAGAAUUGCAAGAACGUU